rnacentral:snoRNA from 1 species
CUUCAGUGAUGAUACGAUGACGAGUCAGAAGGGAUGUCCUUGUGUCAUUGCAGCCCGUUCAGUGCCAUGUUCUGUGGUGCUGUGCUCAGGCUGCCUUGGGCAGGAUGUCCUAUUCAUUGGAUGAUUUAGAGGCAUUUGUCUGAGAAGG